GCAUCAAACUGGAAACCUCAUUGCCUCUCUGAGUGAAGAUGAGGCAUGCAUCUGGUCUGCUUCCUCAGAUGGAAAUUUACUACAUAUUUUGCAUUGCGAAAUGAGAAAUUUGACUCGUGUAUAUCAUGACCUCUUAGUCAUUCGUGGCGUUUCUCAGUCUUUGAAAGAGUUUGUGUUACAUAGAUUUCUAAUUUCAUCAAACGGAUAUGCAUGGAAAUGAUGAUCGUUCCCCAAAUGAAUCGAAACCAAAGCUCACAAAUGAUUCAAGGGAGAAAGCAAGACCUUCGCUCCCUCCAUUGUCAGAGUUGGAGCAGCAAAUUCAAGAAUUUAGGGAAUUAAUGAGCAGAAGACAAAAAAGGUCUCAAUCUGAUGCAAAUAAGUGGAUGGCCUUUGAGUGACCAGCAAUUUAUGCAGAUGUUGCAAACACAAAAUGAGCAAAAAUUCCUUUUUCUACACGUUGGCUCCAAAACAUUUCACAAGAUUUAGAAGAUGAUUAUUUGAGAUAGAAAUGUAAUCACAGAGAGGACUCGUGCGAGCAAUAAUCAUAUCUUCGGUUGUUGAGACUGGAAUACUGGAAUAACAAAGUAGCAAGACGAGGCAACGAAUCCGCAGAGCAACGGUAAAAUCAGAAAUUAAAUAAUAAAUAAAAUAAAAAUUGUAACGCUAGCUCCACUGCUCGCUAAAGCGAGCAAGUGGGCGAGCAGCUAGCAAAGUCACUAGCUAGAGCCAGCAAAAUGGCCAGCAGCUAGCAAAGUCACUAGCUAGAGCGAGCAAAAUGGCCAGCAGCUCGCUAAGGUCUUAGCACAAGCGACCGAUGGAGCGAGCGGAUCCAAGAAAUUAAAGCCCAUAUUUUCCCUUUAAAUGCAACGCAAAGGAAACACUGAUGAUGAUUCUGGAACGCGAAGAAAGACGAAGUCAGGGACAAAGACAAAGGCAGGAGUGAAGAGGAAUGAUGGAGCGUUAUAGAGGAGAAGGAAUGGAUGCAAGCUGCAUCAUUGAUAGUCUCCAUUAAUCAAGUUUUACGAUGAACCUUAUUUCUUUUACUGUUUAUUUCAAUUCUGCAUUUAUAAUUAUGUCUAGCUAAUUUACUUUUAGUAGU